rnacentral:misc_RNA from 1 species
GAUGAAGAACGCAGCGAAUCGCGAUACGUAAUGUGAAUUGCAGAAUUCAGUGAAUCAUCGAAUCUUUGAACGCACAUUGCGCCCGCCAGUAUUCUGGCGGGCAUGCCUGUUCGAGCGUCAUUACAACCCUCAGGCCCCCGGGCCUGGCGUUGGGGAUCGGCGGAGCCCCCCGUGGGCACACGCCGUCCCCCAAAUACAGUGGCGGUCCCGCCGCAGCUUCCAUCGCGUAGUAGCUAACACCUCGCGACUGGAGAGCGGCGCGGCCACGCCGUAAAACACCCAACUCUUCUGAAGUUGACCUCGAAUCAGGUAGGAAUACCCGCUGAACUUAAGCAUAUCAAUAAGCGGAGGA